ensembl:lncRNA
GUACAUGAGGCAAUAAUGGGUGCUGAUCGAACAUUGACAAUUUUGUUAAUUGUACUGGUUGCUACUACACCAACUGUUGCAGCAAACUGUGAUGGAUCAACAACUGUGGCAUCAACAACAACUGAAGCUUCAACAACAGCAACUGUGGCAUCAACAACAACUGAAGCUUCAACAACAGGAACUGAUGGUUCAACAACAGCAACUGUGGCAUCAACAACAACUGAAGCUUCAACAACAGCAACUGAUGGUUCAACAACAACAACUGAAGGCUCAACAACAGUAACUGAGGGUUCAACAACAGCAACUGUGGCAUCAACAACAACUGAAGCUUCAACAACAGGAACUGAUGGUUCAACAACAGCAACUGUGGCAUCAACAACAACUGAAGCUUCAACAACAGCAACUGAUGGUUCAACGACAGCAACUGUGGCAUCAACAACAACUGAAGCUUCAACAACAACUGAAGCUUCAACAACAGCAACUGUGGCAUCAACAACAACUGAAGCUUCAACAACAGGAACUGAUGGUUCAACAACAGCAACUGUGGCAUCAACAACAACUGAAGCUUCAACAACAGCAACUGAUGGUUCAACAACAACAACUGAAGGCUCAACAACAGUAACUGAGGGUUCAACAACAGCAACUGUGGCAUCAACAACAACUGAAGCUUCAACAACAGGAACUGAUGGUUCAACAACAGCAACUGUGGCAUCAACAACAACUGAAGCUUCAACAACAGCAACUGAUGGUUCAACAACAGCAACUGUGGCAUCAACAACAACUGAAGCUUCAACAACAGCAACUGAUGGUUCAACAACAGCAACUGUGGCAUCAACAACAACUGACAGUUCAACAAGAGCAACUGAUGGUUCAACAACAGCAACUGUGGAAUCAACAACAACUGAAGCUUCAACAACAGGAACUGAUGGUUCAACAACAGCAACUGUGGCAUCAACAACAACUGAAGCUUCAACAACAGCAACUGAUGGUUCAACAACAGCAACUGUGGCAUCAACAACAACUGAAGCUUCAACAACAGCAACUGAUGGUUCAACAACAGCAACUGUGGCAUCAACAACAACUGACAGUUCAACAAGAGCAACUGAUGGUUCAACAACAGCAACUGUGGAAUCAACAACAACUGUGGCAUCAACAACAACUGAAGCUUUAACAACAGCAACUGUGGCAUCAACAACAAGUGAAGGUUCAACAACAGCAACUGAAGGUCCAACAACAGCAACUGUGGCAUCAUCAACAACUGAAAGUUCAACAACAGCAACUGUGGCAUCAACAACAACUGAAGCUUCAACAACAGCAACGGAAGGUUCAACAACAGGAACUGAUGGUUCAACAACAGCAACUGUGGCAUCAACAACAACUGAAGGUUCAACAACAGCAACUGAUGGUUCAACAACAGCAACUGUGGUAUCAACAAUAGCAACUGUGGCAUCAACAACAACUGACAGUUCAACAACAGCAACGGUGGCAUCAACAACAACUGAAGCUUCAACAACAGCAACUGAUGGUUCAACAACAGCAACUGUGGCAUCAACAACAACUGACAGUUCAACAACAGCAACUGUGGCAUCAACAACAACUGAAGCUUCAACAACUCAAGGGUCAUCAACGACAACUGAAGGCUCAACAACAGUAACUGAGGGUUCAACAACAGCAACUGUGGCAUCAACAACAACUGAAGCUUUAAAAACAGCAACUGAUGGUUCAACAACAGCAACUGUGGCAUCAACAACAACUGACAGUUCAACAAGAGCAACUGAUGGUUCAACAACAGCAACUGUGGCAUCAACAAUAACUGACAGUUCAACAAGAGCAACUGAUGGUUCAACAACUGGAACUGUGGCAUCAUCAACAACUGACGGUUCAACAACAGCAACGGAAGGUUUAACAACACCAACUGAUGGUUCAACAACAGCAACUGUGGCAUCAACAACAACUGAAGGUUCAACAACAGCAAGUGAAGCUUCAACAACAGCAACUGUGGCAUCAACAACAACUGAAGGUUCAACAACAGCAACUGUGGCAUCAACAACAACUGAAGCUUCAACAACAGCAACUGAUGGUUCAACAACAGCAACAGUGGCAUCAACAACAACUGACAGUUCAACAACAGCAACUGUGGCAUCAACAACAACUGAAGCUUCAACAACAGCAACAGUGGCAUCAACAACAAGUGAAGGUUCAACAACAGCAACUGUGGCAUCAACGACAACUGAUGGUUCAACAACAGCAACUGUGGCAUCAACAACAGCAACUGUGGCAUCAACAACAACUGAAGCUUCAACAACAGCAACUGAAGGUUCAACAACACCAACUCUGGUAUUAACAACAACUGAAGCUUCAACAACAGCAACGGUGGCAUCAACAACAACUCCGGCUUCAACAACAGCAACUGAAGCUUCAACAACAGCAACUGAUGGUUCAACAACACCAAUUCUGGCAUUAACAACAACUGAUGGUUCAACAACAGCAACUGUGGCAUCAACAACAACUGAAGGUUCAACAACAGCAACUGAUGGUUCAUCAACAGCAACUGUGGCAUCAACAACAGCAACUGUGGCAUCAACAACAACUGAAGGUUCAACAACAGCAACUGAAGGUUCAACAACACCAACUCUGGUAUUAACAACAACUGACAUUUCAACAACAGCAACUGUGGCAUCAACAACAACUGGAGGUUCAACAACAGCAACUGUGGCAUCAACACCAACUGAAGCUUCAACAACAGCAACUGUGGCAUCAACAACAACUGAAGCUUCAACAACAGCAACUGUGGCAUCAACAAUAGCAACUGUGGCAUCAACAACAACUGAAGCUUCAACAACAGCAACUGAUGUAUCAACAACAGCAACUGUGGUAUCAACAAUAGCAACUGUGGCAUCAACAACAACUGAAGCUUCAACAACAGCAACUGAUGGUUCAACAACAGCAACUGUGGCAUCAACAACAACUGACAGUUCAACAACAGCAACUGUGGCAUCAACAACAACUGAAGCUUCAACAACAGCAACAGUGGCAUCAACAACAAGUGAAGGUUCAACAACAGCAACUGAUGGUUCAACAACAGCAACUGUGGCAUCAACAACAACUGAAGCUUCAACAACAGCAACUGUGGCAUCAACAACAACUGAAGCUUCAACAACAGCAACUGUGGCAUCAACAAUAGCAACUGUGGCAUCAACAACAACUGAAGGUUCAUCUACAGCAACUGUGACUUCAACAAGAGCAACUGAUGGUUCAACAACAACAACUCCGGCAUCAACAACAACCACGACAACAACAACAGCUGGUUCAACAGUGGCAACAACAACAACUGGUUCAACUGCAGCCACUAUAACAACUCCUGCUUCAACAGAAACCGCAGUAACAACAACAACAACUGGUUCAACAACAACGGCUUCAACAACAAUUGGUUCAACUGCAGCAACAACAACAACAACUGGUUCAACAACAACGGCUUCAACAACAACGGGUUCAACAACAACAGCUUCAACAACAGCAGCAGCAGCAAGAGCAACGACAACAACAACCACAACACCAGCAACAACCACAACACCAGCAACAACAACAACAACAACAACAGCAGUAGCGGUAGUUCGUGCACCAGUUGUUGUUCUUGCAGCAGUUUUGGUUAAACCCUUUGUACCUCAACUAGAAGAUAAAAGUAGUACACAAUUUAAGGCACUUGCGGCAGAAGUGGUGGUAGUGUAUGAAUUCAUCUAUAGAGCUAGAUAUGGUUUACUUUUCAGCCGUGUAAUUGUCAUAGCAUUCAGACCAGCUGUGACCAGAACACGAACAGAUCCUGGUACUGAAGCAGAAGUGGAGGUUGUGUUUAACAACACGAUAACACCUGCGGAAAUCCCAGAGGCUAAAGAUGUUCAACAAACCUUAGUCGAAGCGGUGUCUAACCCCAACACCACUUUCAACCUCAGUAUUGAUAAAACAUCUGUCGUAGCAACCCAAGUAAACCGUGAGUAA